AAAAACUCCGGUGGUAUACGAUGGAUCCGCGUCUGAUUAGCUUGUUGGCGGGGUAAAGGCCCACCAAGGCGACGAUCAGUAGCCGGCCUGAGAGGGUGAACGGCCACAUUGGGACUGAGACACGGCCCAAACUCCUACGGGAGGCAGCAGUGGGGAAUAUUGCACAAUGGGGGAAACCCUGAUGCAGCGACGCCGCGUGAGUGAAGAAGUAUUUCGGUACGUAAAGCUCUAUCAGCAGGGAAGAAAAUGACGGUACCUGACUAAGAAGCCCCGGCUAACUACGUGCCAGCAGCCGCGGUAAUACGUAGGGGGCAAGCGUUAUCCGGAUUUACUGGGUGUAAAGGGAGCGUAGACGGCAGCGCAAGUCUGGAGUGAAAUCCCAUGGCUUAACCAUGGAACUGCUUUGGAAACUGUGCAGCUGGAGUGCAGGAGAGGUAAGCGGAAUUCCUAGUGUAGCGGUGAAAUGCGUAGAUAUUAGGAGGAACACCAGUGGCGAAGGCGGCUUACUGGACUGUAACUGACGUUGAGGCUCGAAAGCGUGGGGAGCAAACAGGAUUAGAUACCCUGGUAGUCCACGCUGUAAACGAUGAAUGCUAGGUGUUGGGGGACCAAGGUCCUUCG
rnacentral:rRNA from 1 species